GACGAACGCUGGCGGUGUGCCUCACACAUGCAAGUCGAGCGGACGAAGAUUGAAGCUUGCUUCAGUCCAAGUUAGCGGCGGACGGGUGAGUAACACGUAGGAAUCUGCCUUCAGGCGGGGGACGAACGGAACGAAAGUUGCGCUAAUACCCCAUAUGCGAGUAAUCGUAAAGGAAGCAAUCCACCGGAAGAUGAGCCUGCGUCCGAUUAGCUAGUUGGUAGGGUAAAAGACCUACCAAGGCUACGAUCGGUAGUUGGUCUGAGAGGAUGAUCAGCCACAAUGGAACUGAGACACGGUCCAUACUCCUACGGGAGGCAGCAGUGGGGAAUUUUACGCAAUGGGCGAAAGCCUGACGUAGCGACACCGCGUGAGCGAAGAAGCCUUUUGGGGUGUAAAGCUCUGUCAGCUGGAACGAACACAAUGACGGUACCAGCAGAGGAAGCAUCGGCUAACUACGUGCCAGCAGCCGCGGUAAUGUCUAGCA
rnacentral:rRNA from 1 species